GGAGGGUUCCCCUUCACCUGCUGGAAUCCGCAACUCCUACAUAAAGCCUUUCUGUGUUUAUUAAAGGGCCUCUACCCAAUUUCUCCAUCUGCCCUUAGGAACAUCCCUCCCAGGACUCACUCACACCUAUUCUCCAACUCUGCCUACCUGCUCAAUUCACCUGAUGCUCUGCCAGUGGAUUGCUGAUGUCUCUACAUUGAUUCAGAUUUGCACCCACAUCUGAAAAUGGUCAGCAGGCAGGGACCCUCUGUCACCACAGGUGGAGGAAGAGGAGAUGAAAGAGCCUUGUCUGACACCCUGGAGACUGCAAGAAGGCCCUUGCCAGAUGUGGGCCCCUCCAUCUUGGA
rnacentral:lncRNA from 1 species